UACGUAGGGAGCGAGCGUUGUCCGGAAUUACUGGGUGUAAAGGGCGUGUAGGCGGCAUGGCAAGUCAGAUGUGAAAUCCCUGGGCUUAACUCAGGAGUUGCAUUUGAAACUGUUGUGCUUGAGUGCAGGAGAGGUAAGCGGAAUUCCCGGUGUAGCGGUGAAAUGCGUAGAGAUCGGGAGGAACACCAGUGGCGAAGGCGGCUUACUGGACUGCAACUGACGCUGAGGCGCGAAAGCGUGGGGAG
rnacentral:rRNA from 1 species